rnacentral:rRNA from 1 species
GGACGAACGCUGGCGGCGUGCUUAACACAUGCAAGUCGAACGGAAAGGCCCAGCUUGCUGGGUGCUCGAGUGGCGAACGGGUGAGUAACACGUGGGUGAUCUGCCCCUAACUUCGGGAUAAGCUUGGGAAACUGGGUCUAAUACCGGAUAGGACAAUCGUUUAGUGUCGGUUGUGGAAAGUUUUUUCGGUUAGGGAUGAGCCCGCGGCCUAUCAGCUUGUUGGUGGGGUAAUGGCCUACCAAGGCGUCGACGGGUAGCCGGCCUGAGAGGGUGGACGGCCACAUUGGGACUGAGAUACGGCCCAGACUCCUACGGGAGGCAGCAGUGGGGAAUAUUGCACAAUGGGCGCAAGCCUGAUGCAGCGACGCCGCGUGGGGGAUGACGGCCUUCGGGUUGUAAACCUCUUUCGACAGGGACGAAGCUUUGGUGACGGUACCUGUAUAAGAAGCACCGGCUAACUACGUG